rnacentral:lncRNA from 1 species
UUAAAGAAAGGUUAAGAACUCCUGGAUUACACAGUUUCUGAGGUUCUGUUCGGCUCUGACAUCAUAGAAUUCUAUGACUGUUGUGUCACCUUGAACAAGUCUUUAUUCCUUUUCAGCAGAUGAUCUCAAAGUCUCUUCAAGCUCCAUUUCCCAAGUUCUCAGGUUUCUCCUUUCAAUACCAUAGUGCAAAUUCAGGAGAAGGUCUUUGUUAUGUGAAAUGGAUCUCAGGGAGGGAGAAAAGGGACAUGGAGAAAUCAAGGUAAUUUCAAAACAAGGGAUAACAACAAAAACUUAUUUUUUCAAGAAGUACGUCUCUUAUCUUUAGAGUUUACACUCUAAAUAUUUCUUAUUUGAUAUUGAUAGUUACUUUUAACUAUUUGAAAGGUUGUUGGGUAGAAAAACUAGACUGGUUCCACUUGGCAGAACCAAGGAAAGCAAGGUGCAGAACUAGGAACAAUUUAUGGAAGGUAGAGACUGGCAGCUUUUGGCUUUAUUUACAUAAAGGAAAAAUUUCUAACAAUUAGAGCCAUCUAACACUUGAUUGAAUUAUUUUGUUAGGCAGUGACUUGCCCAUCACAAAAGGUAUUCAAGUGGAGGUUGAAUGACUGUAUAUUGUAUAGCGAAUUCUUGUUUCAGUUAGAAGAGGUAAAAAGGGUAAGUUAGCUGAUCUUUGUAGCCCCUCCUAGCCUAGAUUCCAAAAUAUCUCUGGUCCACAAUAAUCACAACAAUGGAAAACAUUUCCUAGGGGUGGAGAAUGAGUAAACUUGAAUUCAUGAGCUAUGUUCCCAUUUGUUAGAACCAAUUACCAACAGACAGCUCCUGAGCAAUUGACCACUGCAGGAGAAGAGAGCAAGCAUUCAUAUAGUACCUAUUAUGUGCCAACUACUGUGCUAAGUGCUUUAUGUCUCAUUUGAUCCUCACAACUCUUUGAAAUGGGUGUUGUUAUCCUCCAUUUUACAAUUGAAAAAACUGAGGCAAACAGAGGUUAAGGAACUUGCCCAGGAUCGCACAGCCAAGUGUUAUUAGAAGAACUCUGAUCUUCCCGACUCCAGGUCUGCCUAGCUGCCUCUGGCCCCGAUAUAUCCUGUGAGUGAAAUCAUGAAGGAGAGUUGAAGAAGCAGGACUGAGGAGGGGAAGAGCUUCCCUACUUUCUUCUCAUCUUUCUAGAAGGCUGUGCCUGGGCCAUUUCAUUGAGGCUUACAUCUGACACAGAGCCAGGACUUGGGG